CCGAGUUUACAACUCCCAAACCCAUGUGAACAUACCUAUCGUUGCUUCGGCGGGUUGCCCUUGGGCGCCCGUCGGGGACCACAAACUCUUGAUUUUACAACUGGAAUUCUGAGUGGCCGCAAGGCAAACAAAUAAAUUA
rnacentral:misc_RNA from 1 species